rnacentral:rRNA from 1 species
UACGAAGGGGGCUAGCGUUGCUCGGAAUGACUGGGCGUAAAGGGCGCGUAGGCGGAUGGUACAGUCAGAUGUGAAAUUCCCGGGCUCAACCUGGGGGCUGCAUUUGAUACGUAUGAUCUUGAGUGGGGAAGAGGGUCGUGGAAUUCCCAGUGUAGAGGUGAAAUUCGUAGAUAUUGGGAAGAACACCGGUGGCGAGGGCGGCGGCCUGGUCCUUAUACUGACGCUGAGGCGCGAAGGCGUGGGGAGCGAACGGG